AGAAUGGGGCCUAUAGGGUAUGGAAAAAUAGCAACCCACACUUGGAAAUACCUCCCUUGAGCCUCUGAUGAACUGGGAUCGUGGCUUUACUGGAAAAGGGUGUGACUACCCCCAUUUUAUAGGUGCUGGGUGAUUCAGGGUCUCCGGCAUGUGUGCUCCUGUUUAUUACUGGUUUUUUCUGCCAUAUGGACCUUAACCGUUGGACCUCCUGCUCAUCCGGAAAGGCAAGAGUCCUACUGUGGCAGCCUAUGGUUUUCUGCAUGACGACCUCUGAUCGAUUUCUCCAAGAUACGUGCUGCUGGUCCACACAGGAUGCUGCUGAGAGUGGGGGUCCCCCACAGGAUAGCUGGCCCAUCUCCAGCAAG
rnacentral:lncRNA from 1 species